AAAAGAGGAGCGGAAGAACAUGAGUACCGCGUACACAGAGGGAUGAGGGUCCCUUGCAUGAAGUGCGCGCAAAAGGGUAUCUCCGCCGAAGCGCAUCCAUGCCCUCACGGAUGUGCUGGGUCUGCGGGAGAAUACCCUCAUUCCUGUCACCGUCCGCGGUGAAGCGCUUUUU
rnacentral:ncRNA from 1 species